rnacentral:rRNA from 1 species
CACUCUAAGUUGACUGCCGGUGACAAACCGGAGGAAGGUGGGGAUGACGUCAAAUCAUCAUGCCCCUUAUGAUUUGGGCUACACACGUGCUACAAUGGACAAUACAAAGGGCAGCGAAACCGCGAGGCCAAGCAAAUCCCAUAAAGUUGUUCUCAGUUCGGAUUGUAGUCUGCAACUCGACUACAUGAAGCUGGAAUCGCUAGUAAUCGUAGAUCAGCAUGCUACGGUGAAUACGUUCCCGGG